GACUCUGUAGCUCAGUGGUCAGAGCGCUGCACCAGAACCGCAGGGCUGCAGGUUCGAGUCCUGUCGGAGGGC